GCCAAAAUCCCGUACCUACUUACACAAGAAGGUGUGAAAAUAUACAACCCACAGGACAUUACUGACAACAUGGCAACAUACUAUCAUAUGCUAUACAACCUCAAAGAUGACACAACACUACACCAACCCACCAACAUAGAAAUUGGGAAUUUCCUUGCUCUCUCCAAACUACCAACAGUGACAAACAUACAGCGAUUACAUUUACAAACUCCGAUUACAUAAAAU